rnacentral:rRNA from 1 species
UACGUAGGUGACUAGCGUUGUCCGGAUUUACUGGGCGUAAAGAGCGCGCAGGCGGUCGUUCAAGUCGCGUGUGAAAGCCCCCCGGCUCAACUGGGGAGGGUCACGCGAUACUGAUCGACUCGAAGGCAGGAGAGGGAAGUGGAAUUCCCGGUGUAGUGGUGAAAUGCGUAGAUAUCGGGAGGAACACCAGUGGCGAAGGCGACUUCCUGGCCUGUUCUUGACGCUGAGGCGCGAAAGCUAGGGGAGCAAACGGG